rnacentral:tRNA from 1 species
AGCCUAUUAGCUCAACCGGUAGAGCACUAUGCACCUGCAUAGAGGAUGUAGGUUCGAAUCCUAUGUAGGCUG